rnacentral:rRNA from 1 species
AUUGAACGCUGGCGGCAGGCCUAACACAUGCAAGUCGAGCGGAGCGGCGGACGGGGGAGUACUGCCUAGGAAUCCGCCUGGUAGUGGGGGAUCAAGUACGGAAACGGGCGCUAAUACCGCAUACUAUCAGAGCAGCCUAGGUCGGAUGAGCUAGUUGGGUGGGUAAAGGCCUACCAAGGUGACGAUCCGUAACUGGUCUGAGAGGAUGAUCGGUCACACUGGAACGUAGACACGGGCCAGACUCCUACGGGAGGCAGCAGUGGGGAAUAUUGGGCAAUGGGCGAAAGCCUGAUCGAGCCAUGCCGCGUGAGUGAAGAAGGUCUUCGGAUUGUAAAGCACUUUUGGUAGAGAAGCGUUACCAAAAGAGUAAGCACCGGCUAACUACGUGCCAGCAGCCGCGGUAAUUC